GGCAGGUUGCGGCGAGCGGGGGCGGCGAACGCGGUUCUCCGAAGCGUAAAUGGGCUGAGCGACAGCGUGCGGGGGCCGGAUUCCAGAAAAUACAAGGCAUUGCUGGACAGCUGUAGCUCUACAUUUAAGCACUCUGACAGUGAAUUACUGAGCAAGAGAGAACAUUCCAAGGACGUGGGUGACAAGCACACAGAGCUCACUGCUAAACUACUGCAAUCACGAAAGAGGACUGGGGACUGCUGCUAAUACUGCUCCUUGCUUUCUGUGUGCCUGCUUUCUAUUAUAGUAGCAUCCAAAUGUGAUUAAUAAGGACAGCAAAAGGGAAAGCAAUGGUGUUUGCAUUGCAAGUGACAUCUGGCUGACAGGAAUUUGGAGAAAUGGGAUACGAAGUGAAUGCUGUAGUUACCACAGCAUCGUAUUUAUCAAAAGGCUUAAGGCAUGAUAUCGUGGUGAAAUUCUAAGGAGACAUUCAUUGACUCUCCUAAGAGAGAAGGAAGAAUUAAGUCCUAGACGCAGUUGUACAGAGUACUGGUAAAACAACAAAUCCUGUCAGUGUUCUCAUAGAAGACAAUUGAGAUGUGAAGUACAGCAUUGAUACCUGAUGUAUUACUUCAGCAGCAAAUUCAACAAGGCCAAGAUGUCUUCAUUUUCCUCCAGAGCAAGAGCUGUACAAGCAUUGUGAUGGAAGUAUUGGUCUUCGGUGGCCAGCCGGCAAGAACCCAUCAACAGCUGUGAUGAGCAGAGCAGACAGAGAGACAGGAGGCAGCUGAAGCCAAAGAGGACCCACGCCUGGAGCUGUGUGUGUGAUUGGAGCAGAGAGAGGCCAGGACCCAAGGAAAUCCCAGCAGCGAGGGAAAAAAACAGAUUGACUCUCAGUGACUCAUUUAGCUCCUGGAUUGGACAGAUCUCUCCCCUGCUGGCAAUUUGGCUGAGCAUCAAUGGACAGAUACCAGGAUGAAUAGCUUAAAAUAAUUAGGGGUUGGGAAUCUGCAAAACUGCUAGCCAUCCAAUUCUUUACUCUGCAAUGUGAGGCACAAAAAAGAAAUUACAUUUAGGUUAUUAAAUAUUAAGUCAGUGGAUUUGCCUCCAUUUGGUCCAGAACAGGAAACUGGAUAAAAUUCAACAUUUAUUUCAUUGUGUUGAUGGCCUGUUUAUCACUGAGCGGGUGAGUGCAUUUUGGCAGGUCAAGCUCUUUGACACAUGGGGCGAACGUGUGCUUAAUUUCCCAAACAGAAGAAUUAAUAUAAUAAUAAUUAACACAGAUGAGAACAGAAUUAAAAUCAAGUACAGUCAAGAGUUCAGUUAAAUGCCAGAUAUCCUGCUUUCUGUGUGUUCUGGGACCAGAUUUUUUUACUGUUGAAGGCACUGAGGAUUUUGCUAUUGGUGCUGAUGGGAGAUGAAUGGUGCUGGAUGUAAGAGACUGGAUUCCCUGUACUUUCUAUUUAGUGCUUAAAAACAGAAGCAACAGGCUCAUUUAGUAUCAGUAAAGGUCAGUUAAAAUUAUAGAGACAUCCUUUGGAGCAAAUCCUCUGCCUUGUAUUUGCAUAUUUAUGAACUAGAGAUUACGACGGGCUAUUCCAUUUAUUAGAGCAGCAUCUCUAUAGUUAAUUGUCUGUCAGUAUUUCCAUUAUAAACCCCGUUUUUCAGUGUUUUAAUAUCUCAGCCAUUUAAAAUCACAUCAGGAAGCAAGUUGGCCUUGUGUUUCAGGCCAGGUGCAAUUUUUUGUUCUGGAUUAUUAUCAGUAAUCAAAUACUGUUCAUUAUAUAUGCAAAUGAGUCACGACAUUUCUGGUGGGGGAAAAUAGCAAAGAAUGGAAGUUCAUUGUGGCUUUGUGUUUUGUUUUGUGUUUUUUUGGUUGUUUUUUGGUUUUUUUUUAGAAAAGAAGAGAAAAGAGGAAUUUGACAAAUGAUGGCAAUUGAGACUUCAUGAUUUAAUAACAGCAUCUCAAGCAGUUGUUCUGAAGUGGUUCUCAGUGUGAAAUGAGGUUGCCACAUGCUUAUCAGUGGUGAUAGAGGUAUAUGGCUACAGACACCUUGCCCCUCAAAAGCUUCUCGUCUGCCAGAGUCCUAGACGAAGAACGCCAGGUAUCAUUUCAAGCCACUACAAAGUGCUGGGAGAAGGGGAGGAGGAAAUCUUCACGUAUGUUCUAAAGAUUUGUCAGCAGUUGGCCUUCAGACUAGCUUGAAGAUUUUGGUAAUGCCAGCAGCUACCAGAAGGUCCAGACAAACUCACACUAGAGAUUGCCUAAGCCUCAAAUUGCUGGGAGCUAACACACCAGCUGUGAAUCAGCAGCCUUUGACCUGUUCUUGUAUUUCCACUUCCGAGCAUCCACUACAGAGCAGUGAGGAAGAAGAGCUUGCAGAGGUAACUAAGAGUUAACUGGCAACAUUUCAGCUGUCACCAUUGUCUUACAUCUACAGAGAGAGUGGAGAGAGCCAAGAAGAUAACAAUGAGAGCAGAUCUGCAGUAUAGUGAGGACCCGGUCUGCUACACUUCUGUGGUGCGUGUUGCAUUUCAGUGCCAGCACUUACCAGAGACGUUAUAGCCUAUGAGUCUGGAGAAUGAGACCUUCACUGGCACCACACAGGAGGCCAAGGACAGGCAGAAGCACGGGCAAAGGCAAAGUUCCACUAGGUCAAGGGAAGGGGCAUGGCAGACUAAUGGACAGCAACCUGCCCUUAGGUGGAAGACUGCUCUUCAGCAUUUGGCCCAGGUCAAACAGGAAAAUGGAGAUCGAGCACAUCCACCGAAGCGGCGGCUGGUUGGACUUGCAAGCACGCUGGGGAAGGAGCAGCUCAGUGCUACCCAUGGGGCGUCCCUUCGCAGGGGGCACGCGUUGCAGCUGUGUGAUGUGCACAGAGCUGGUGGCGCUCACUGGAUGCUCCCAGAAGACAAACAGCAUUGGUCCAGAUCAAAGGCCUCCCACAAGAAAUUCAGACUUCUUUGUUAGAGAAAUGCACAGUCAGCUGGGUGUGGGGCCGGCAGUGCUGCAGUCCAUGUGCCACGGCCCACCUGGAGGGCAGGCGUGCUGAGGAGCCCCGUCAGACACACACUGCGUUCUAUUAAGAAAAGAAAAGAAAGGAAAAAACUUACGAGUGAGCUCUUCUGUGGCUUCGCUGGACUGACAACAGGCGUACACCUGGUACUGAAAAGCAACAACAAAGGCUCCCUGGUACUUCAUGUACUGCAGGCACGGGAAGUGAAACCGGUCCUGGAACACGUCUCAAGCUGAAGAAACACAAUACUUUGAAGUCCUAUUUUUGCCAAGGCAAUGAAGUGCUGAAGGAAGAAAUCCAAGAGACCUCAGCACACUAGGCCAAGAAGUAGAAUCUGAAACAAAAUGUAUCUGCUACUGGUUGUUCAGACAAAUCUACAAUUCUGCUUCUUAUGCACCAGCGUCACAACGAAAGUAAGUGAAGCUCACUCCAUAACCAAACAAGCUACGCCUUCUUGAAAACAGAAUUUAAAAAGAGAACAUAAUCACACUGUAUUUCAAAUGCAUUAUUCUCUGAUAGAAGUCAAACAGCUGGUAAUGCUGAUUUGCUCUGAGUUGCAGCAGAGGCACCUUCUGGGUGCCCACAGUUCCCUGACUGAAGGCAUGCAGUGCAUCACAGAUUCAUGUUACUGUUCUUGCUAUAAGUAUGAAAAAUGAGGAUUUUUUUCUCAGAGUUGGUCUGCACAGACCUGAAAGGAAAGGCCCACUGAACAAAGCUGCCCUCUUUCUAAGCUUAGAGAAAGUUUUCUUACUUUGGAGGGCGUUGUUUUUUUGUUUCCUUCCAUAGAGCAAACCAUAGCUGCCAUCAGUUUGUUCUUGGAAGUAGCCCAGGAAGCUCGCUUUUCUUUCCUUCAGAUUAUUAGUUUUAAAAGUUUCUUGCACAGCAGAUUCCAGUUUAUUUUUAUUCAGAUCAGAACAGCUAUUGUAUUCCUCUCUAUGAAUGUUCAAUUCUAGUGCUCCGCAUGAGGUACACACCUUCUUUGCUUUUAUUGUUAUUUCUGGAUCUCUUAAAGUGUGUUCAUACACCCUCAUGCUUGCACACUCACAGACACGCAUACAUCUAACAUGGGCAGUUUUGCAGGGAGGAGCCAGAUAGAAAGAGACCACAAUACCUAUAACGUGUACCACACUUAACCACAAUCUGAACUGUCUUGCAUUUGCUGUUAUUAGAAGCAAGAAUCUCAAUGAAAACUAAUGAUCACUUUGAAGCAGCGCCUCCCUGUAUCCACACCAAAAUUAACACGGUAGUUUAACAGGUUCUUUAGUGGCAUAAGACAAAACAAAAAAGGAACCCACCAAAAACCUCCAAACCAAAACCUUAUUUUUAAAGGAAACUGACAAUUAAGGCAAUGACUUUGUUUCAGAGCACUAUUUUGAGUGUAGUUUUGUUGUUUGUUUGUUUGUUUUUUUCAAGAAAAAAACAGCAACGUUUCUAAAACCCAAACUCAAUUCAGUGGUUUUUGUUUUACUUUUUAUUAUUUAAAUACACCAUACUAGAGCAAAUGUCUCUGAAAAUAUCACAAAUAAAAGAUUUUUCUUCAUUCAGCAAAUUAGAAGUAGGUGAAAAUUUCUACACAGUAGCUGCUAUGAGCCUGACUUUUUUUUUCCUUUUUCUCCUUUUUUUUUUUUUGCCAUGGGAAGUAGCAACAUUAGGACAAAAACACUUACAUGCAUACAUACAUUGUAUUUUACAGAGAUACAAUAAAAGUGUUUGUGAUAGAAUAUCACAAAAGCCACAUUUUUCCUUUAUCUCAUGUUCAGUUUGAUUGAAACACAUUUCCUUACAACACUUAAAUAUACAAAGAGCAAAUAGAAUGUUGUUAAGGUAAAAUACAGGGUACAAACUGGCUAGUGCCCUGCUAAUUGUUAAUGAGGGUAGAAAGCAGAUUUCAAUGCUUCUUUUAAUUAGCUUCAUUAGUCAUCUUCCCCACCCACCCCCCCAAAGAUGUCCUCCGGUGGAUCUUUUUUCAUUUUCUCUACAGUCUCCCAUUAGCCCAGGUUCAUGGAGUCCUUAAUGUUCAUAUUCAGUCAUUUUAAUACACCAAUAAAUGUGGGAAGGGCAAUCAAGAAUAAAGAAGGUGCAAUGGUAUGGAGCUGGCACUGAUGCUAGCUACAAAGGUGACUUGUCUACUUGGAGACAUGGGAUCCAUCUGUGAUGAACAAAAUUUGAGAUGAAGGCACGCAUUCUGCAAUACUCUGACCUUUUAGCAGACCUGCAAGAAAUAAAAAUGGGUAUCUUAGCUAGAAUACUAAAUUUGAGAUAGGAAACUACAACAUGACUGCUUUUGUCUUUUCCUUAUUCACUAAUCUCUUUUUUAUUAGAUUACUUUCCAACUGUGACUUUCUACACUAUCCAUUCAUAGUGCUAACGUUUCAACUUCAAAUAGCAAAAAGCAAGCAUUUUCUGCAGUAUCACUACUAAGAAGAACAGACAGUAAAGAAUAAAGAGAAACGACAACAAUAAAUAAGUGUACUUUCUGGUAGCAAAUGGUACGGUGAAUAAGGUGGCUUUUCUGGGCCCCUUUUUAAAAGGGAAGAAACAUUAUGCCAUGCCUUUGAAGAAGUCAGUAAUGUGAUCUUAUAAUUGGAAGAAAUAGCGUGUAAAGCAAAUAAAAAGUACAGCCAAUAUCCUCCCAAGGCAACUUUGGUUAAUAUGCUGCACUGCAUAAGAGCUAAAUAUAGAUAUUUCAGGAUUUUUCCCCCCCAUUUGAAAUUCCUCAUCUGGUGUGUUAGUUAAUGUUACAUAAACAUUUUAAUAUAUGAAGUCAAACAUGUGCUCUCACACUGGUGUUAAUGAAUUGUGAUAAUUAAAAGUGUCUAAGUCGAUAAAAAUCUAAACUUUCCGGGACAAAAUAGAAAUGAUCAUCCAUAGUCUUCAAAUACAAUCUGUUUGCAAUUACCAAAAUGAAAUAAUAUAUAUGAGAAUUUUAUGGUUUUUAAAUGGCAUUUUGUGCUUCCCAGGAAGUUCUUUUUCCACCCUUUCUCUAAGUUACUAAAAGCCUGAGGUCUAUUAGUAACUGCAACCCCCCACUUUCAAGCUAAUUAAAGUAGUAGAGGCUUGGAGGUUUAAUUCCCCAGAGCUGAAGCUCAGUGUGAGAAAGGUAAUUUGUCUGUCCAGAACAAAGAUUAGGGAGCAGCCAGCAAGCAUAUUUAAUAAAUGAGCAUCAAAUAUCUUCUACUAUGGACACAGACAACACCAAUUAUGUAACUACAAGGGAAUUGUUGAGUGAUAUGUAAACUAGAAGAUUUUUCAGAUCUUCUCUGAGAGAUGUAAUCUAACUCAUACUUUAUUUAAAAGUAUAGGAGCUGAAGACAAGCGUUCGCUAUGAACGCUGCCAGCCAGAGGAGAAUUUACACUUAUAGUAGGUGGUAAGGUUGUUAGCAAACAAGAGAUGCUACAGGAAUACUGCCACUGUCAAAAAUGCAGAGACAGUUCUCUGUGGAGGAUGAUACGACCCCGGCAAAUAAAAUGGCCCCCAGGACAUCAGCCAGCAUUGAGGACUGCGUUGUGCCGGCAAGCAGAGGUGAAAUAGUGUUGUGGUGUUUGAUUUUUUCCAAGCAAGCGAUGAGAAACUACAAUUUCCACGUGUGGAUCAGAUCAGGGAGGCAAAAGGCAGGAACAGCAAACAUUACUGCUUCGCCUCCUUAAAAAGAAAAUCAAGUGCUGAAAGUUAGGCUGUGCAACCUUUUCUGCCUGCACCCAUCACCAAUAAAUAUACAGUUUACAAGUUAAUAUGAAGACAAUCCUAAGUAUGUAACUGCCACCUUCACAAACACAACAAAAAUGUGUUUUAUUGCAAGGAGUACGUCUCAAUCUCUUCAGCUUAAUGAAAAAAAAACCACCACCCUGUGAUUAUUCUGCUGUGUCCAUAAUCUCUAGUGGCAGAAUAACCUGGAGACUGAUUGAUCUUUAAUGUUUAAUAAAGAGGAUCUGUUACAGCCAACUCCGUCAUAGUGGAAGAACAUUUUUAAUUACUGGCCCUAAAACAUGCGGCUUUCUGGAAAGCAUCUGCGAUGUUUACAUCUUCAGAUUGUUAAAAAGCUAACACACGAAACACAAUCUUUGUCACCUGCCCCUGCAGCUUCCAUAACUGCAGACACCUGACAAACCUAUGAAUUACCAACUUGUCUCCUUGACUGUAAUCCAGUUUUCUGAAAUUCAGACGCUCCACAGCUCCCCUUGGAAAACCGGUAGGGGAACUUGGACCAUUUCCUAGAGAGACUACAUUAUAAAAACAAAACCACCCUAUCAUUUCUCUCUCCAGUCUUCCCCAGUACCUCUCUGCCUCAUCCUUGACCGCAGCAACGUGGUAAGUAGUGACAGAACUAAUAAAAACCUGUUCUCAGUAUCGCCUCUGCAUUAGCUUCUACCGGGAGGCUUCAGCUGUGAGCUCUGCAGGCCCAGCCCCACUUUACUGCUUUUCCACAUUCUGCGUUCCUCAUCAUGUCUACUGCUUUUAUUCUAACUAAAUCAUUUUUGUGUUUUACUAACGCAUAGUAAGAAACUGAUAAAGCUAAACGGCAAUUUAGACACCUACAUGAAGUUACAUUAAACUUUACAUUCGCAGUAGACAAGUGGAUAAACCACUCUCUCAGAAUGGUAAAGCUUUUACUGCAGCAUAUAAAGAUGAAUGGUUUUACCCUGUAUUUUGAAAUGGGACACCUACAAAUAUUCACCUAACGGAGUCACUGUUAGCUAUGCUGUACCACAGACUUGUGUCAUUAAAAUUCACAACAGUAUAAAUCCAUGAAUCUUUAACUGUAGUUGUACUUCCUCGAGAAGAGGCCAAGCCGUUGUCCUCCAAUCUUCAUUAUCUUCAUUCUGCCCAACUAUGUAGGACUUUUGUACUCAACUCUCUCAUCACCUCAAUUGACAAAUUAGGCAAAUAAAAAAGCCCACAUCUCAUUUUGAUGUAAUUACACUCACUGUAUAAGACUUGAAAUAAUGCUUAAAAUUAAUCAGCAAAUUUUUGCACAGAAAAAGAAGCAAACGUGGAUAUUGAACUGCAGCAACACAACAAGAAAAACACAGGACUUUUUAAACCAGUUUGUGUCUUCCUGUGUAGAUUUCUCCACUAAGUGAAAGUGCUACCAAUUAUUCCGCACGUGACAGAAUAGGUAAGCCUAGCAUUUGUCCCAGGUUUUUUCAUCUUCAAAAUUCCUAUUUGCAGAUAAAUGUUAUUUUUUGUGAUCCUUACAGACAUUAAUGAAGUUCCUAUUGUAAAUCUAUAAAGAAUUACCAACUGAAGUGUGCACUUUUUGUUUCAUUGCAAUAACUCAGUGCUAUGUGAUUGCCUGGGUUAAUGAUGAAAAAGUCAAAUAUACUAUCAGAGCUGAUGGAAAAAUCUAUCACCAAUCUGAAAUUAAAAUUCAUCUGUGGUCAAUAAGAUUUAAUAUCCAUGCAAGUGGCGCUGUAAAGAGUAAAUGAAUCAAUGUCAUCAAUACAUAAUCAGUAUGAAAUAUGAUGUGAAUAAAAUUAUGUGCAAGAGUCAUACAUUCACUCUUUUCUGGACCAGGGUGGAAUGAACAGUCUCUUAACUCAAGGUUGACAGUAAUUGUUACAAAUUAGGCACAGCAGUUAUCAAAAUGCACUCACUUGCAUUGCUUUAGGACUUAUUAAGGAGAUUAAAAUAGAUCUAAAACUACCUUGUUUCAGAGUUAUGGGACAACUGUUGAUCAGAAUUUUUUUUCUUCUUCUCUAUAUGAUCCGUGCAGUCAUUAUUUACUCAUUUAGGCACAAACCAAGAGCCAUCAGCCACAGAGAUACACGAUCUCUAGCUGAGCUAUUGUUGUUAUGGAGCGAUAAGAAAAUAGCACUUUAGUUUUUAAAUCUCAGUUAUGACAUAGAAAACAGACGAGAAAAUACUUCUGAAAGAGCUCCCCAGCAUGCCUCCUCAACUGCAACCUUACACUGCUUUAGCUCAGGAAUCUUCUCUUCACAAAACGUUUAUUUCCAUAUUAAAGGAUGUAAUUUUCCUCCCACAGAAACCUGCUCUCUUGUAGCCCUUAAUUUCAAGACUGUAAAAUAAAAUGCUCCUCUUUGUUAAGUUUA